rnacentral:rRNA from 1 species
UGGGGAAUUUUGGACAAUGGGCGAAAGCCUGAUCCAGCCAUUCCGCGUGCAGGAUGAAGGCCCUCGGGUUGUAAACUGCUUUUGUACGGAACGAAAAGGCUCUGGUUAAUACCCGGGGCUCAUGACGGUACCGUAAGAAUAAGCACCGGCUAACUACGUGCCAGCAGCCGCGGUAAUACGUAGGGUGCAAGCGUUAAUCGGAAUUACUGGGCGUAAAGCGUGCGCAGGCGGUGAUGUAAGACAGAUGUGAAAUCCCCGGGCUCAACCUGGGAACUGCAUUUGUGACUGCAUCGCUGGAGUGCGGCAGAGGGGGAUGGAAUUCCGCGUGUAGCAGUGAAAUGCGUAGAUAUGCGGAGGAACACCGAUGGCGAAGGCAAUCCCCUGGGCCUGCACUGACGCUCAUGCACGAAAGCGUGGGGAGCAAACA